rnacentral:rRNA from 1 species
AUUGAACGCUGGCGGCAUGCCUUACACAUGCAAGUCGAACGGUAACGCGGGGCAACCUGGCGACGAGUGGCGAACGGGUGAGUAAUGUAUCGGAACGUGCCCAGUUGUGGGGGAUAACUGCUCGAAAGAGCAGCUAAUACCGCAUACGACCUGAGGGUGAAAGCGGGGGAUCGCAAGACCUCGCGCAAUUGGAGCGGCCGAUAUCAGAUUAGGUAGUUGGUGAGGUAAAGGCUCACCAAGCCGACGAUCUGUAGCUGGUCUGAGAGGACGACCAGCCACACUGGGACUGAGACACGGCCCAGACUCCUACGGGAGGCAGCAGUGGGGAAUUUUGGACAAUGGACGCAAGUCUGAUCCAGCCAUGCCGCGUGCGGGAAGAAGGCCUUCGGGUUGUAAACCGCUUUUGUCAGGGAAGAAACGCUCUGGGUUAAUACCUCGGGGUAAUGACGGUACCUGAAGAAUAAGCACCGGCUAACUACGUGCCAGCCGCCGCGGUAACAC